GUCGGGGUAGCUCAGUAGG
rnacentral:tRNA from 1 species